CUGUUGGACCCGAGGCCCGUGGCGUCGCGGCUCUUCUUGUACUUCAUGCUGGCUGGCGCCAACACCUCAGCUAGGCCUAGGCUCGCUGAUCCCGAGAAAUGAGGAGGGGAAAAGAAGGGGGAAUCCCGCGUGCGACUCCGACAACAAGAGGGCGAAAAGGGCGCCUCGAGAAGUCGAAGAGAAGGGUGACCCAGUUGCGCUGCACGACGUUUUCUCUCGAGAGAUGGAAUUGGGAAACUUGGGCAAGGAGGAGUCGAGAACUGUUGACGCCGACUGGAUCAAGGAUUCAGCGGCAAAAGUCAACUCGCCUAUGGGGGAGUAGACAAGAAAAGGCGAUCGACUUGGUGUCCUCGCGUGGGGAUGAUGGCGACGUGAUCAGAAUCAUUCAACUAAGAAUAGUAAUGCAUCUGAUGGCGGAUGGUGUAGUAGUGCUGAUUGUACUCAUCGGCGAGAAGAAGCAAAUGAGCGACGCC
rnacentral:misc_RNA from 1 species